rnacentral:rRNA from 1 species
CCUACGGGAGGCAGCAGUGAGGGAUAUUGCACAAUGGCGGAAACCCUGAUGCAGCGACGCCGCGUGAGGGAAGAAGUAUUUCGGUAUUUAAAGCUCUAUUAGCAGGGAGGAAAAUUACAGUACCUGACCAAGAAGCCCCGACUAACUACGUGCCAGCAGCCUCGGUAAUACGUAGGGGGCAAGCGUUAUCAGGAUUUGCUGGGGUUAAAGGGAGCGUAGACGGUUAGGUAAGGCUGGAGUGAAAGCCCUGGGCCCAACCCCGGGACUGCCUUUGAAACUGUGUAGCUGGAGUACAGGAGCGGUAGGCGGAAUGUGUGGUGUAGCGGUGAAAUGCAUAGAUAUCAGACGGAACACCGGCUGCGAAGGCAGCCUGCGGGACUGAAACUGACGCUGAGGCACGAAAGCGUGGGGAGCAAACAGGAUUAGAUACCCCGGUAGUC